AACGUAGCUCUUGGACACAAACAAGUACAGAUUCAGAUCAAUUUGCAAACACGUGUCAAUAAAAUCAAAUAAUUUGAGGUAGGACUUCCCAUAAACUGUACAAGAUAAACUACAAAUGUUGCUGAACUUAAAUGUACAUAAUUUAUUUAUUUUUUUGCAUUCUUUGGAAACUUAUGCAAUACCAUAAAAUGGAUUACAUGACGAUCAAAGUGCGUCAAAUAGCUUACAUGUUAACAAGGUUUAGUCUUUUAUACAAAUAUGUCUAUAGAAGAACCAGGGAAGCAGCCAAGAGUGAUCAUAAACUCAAGUGGGAAAAACUUUUAACUUCCUAAGUUUUAGUCAGCUACUCAAAUCUCCACAAAUACAAUCUUUCUGGCUGAGGGACAAAAAGAAAAGCUGGCUAUAAGAAAUCCUGCGUAAAGUGUGAAAAGAAAAAAGGCACUUAAGAUGCAGCAAGAAUGUAGAAACUGGUGACCCAGACGUAAACAAACAAGUCAAAGCCCAGACAUAAAUCCAGCUGUGAAUCUGGAUUGGGGGGAUUUUUAAAUUGAUGCUCACAUCCCUGUCCAGUCCGACUCUGCUCAAACCAUUUUGCAAGUUAACAGGCAAAAAUGUCCAUAUCUAGGAGUCUAAAGUCAACUGACGUACACCGAAAGACAAGCAAGCAAACUAUAUCCUUACAAAUCGUUGACAAAAUUGGGGAUGAACAUAAACACACAUUUCAGACUUUUAUUUGGAAAACAAGGAUUUCAAAAUAUGUCCUCUACUGCUAUUCGCCGCCCUUAUCACAUAAAAUCCCAAUUAGAUGCUCUCGGGUUUGUGGCUGCACAGCGACAAAAUGAGACACGGGUUCAAGAGUGUGAUGCAACUUCUGCGCGAGUGCGUUAUGGGUUUAGCUCAUUUGUGGUAUCAAACUGGAGGCUGCCAAGAGAUGCGUUUGAGGCAGAUCAUGAAAUGCAAGGUCAACAGAUGGAGCAGUUCACAGACACAGGAACUUGUUGUGGGGGUGCUGAUGAAGGUGCGAAGACAGACUGACGAGGGAAUGAGGAGGGGUGAGGGGAGGUUAUUCGGAGCGGAGGCAACACCCUUUUACAUGACUUGCUUCCUAACUGAGCGGAGAGCACCUCCAGCUGGAUGACUUAGAAGCUAUUUGAGACGCGUGGAAAUGGAGAGAGGGACUUUAACCUAGCUGUGGAACGCGUGAAAGGCUUACAUACUUGGCAAAGGCCAUGUGCGGCAAGGAGACAUCCGGUUUGGCAUAAAACGGACAGGCAGGCUUAUGGUGUCACUCUUGACUCAGUCUGGGAAAAACUACAAGCUGGGAAUAGCAGGGUGGCAGCAGUGUGUGGGUUGUUGUGAACAGUCUGCAAGUGUUGGACAGAGACAGAGAGAGAGAGAGAGAGUGACAUUUGAAUGAGUAGAAUGACGUCUGAAGAUGUACCGCCAUAAAUAUAGGGCUAGUAUGGGCCGGGUGGUAAAUUUCGUGGAUCAGUAAAGCACAAAAAAGUGCGUCUUUUUGACCCAAAUGUGUUAGGCAGAAACCACGUUAGGCGCAGCGGGCCGCGUUUGUCCGUCUCGUAUCAGAUGUUCGCUCACACUCGCUAGGCUGUCAUUUCACCCAAGCAAAAAAAAAAAAAAAAAGAAAACGUCAUUGUUUUCCUCCUCCUGCUCUUAACACAAUCUAAUCACAGCUCUAUCGUCUCCAGGUGGCCCCAGUCUAGAGAGACAAAGAGACUUUUAACACAACUAACCGUCUUUAACACGGCCCUGAUCUGAAGCAGACCACAUUACAAAAUGACCCUCUCCACGUCCGGUUAAAAGCCCAAACACACCUGCUUCCACUCACACGCUCUCAGCAGGCGUGCGGCAUCAAUUACGCCCGCCGAUCCGAGAUAAGACGGAGAUACCACUUCCAUGAUAAGGUCCGUCAAUGUGUGAUUACAGGAGAAAGCUGGGCUGUGUAGAUCAGGAUGGCCAGAUUAUUGGAUUUAGCAGAUGUCUUUCUUGUCCCCCCUCCCUCCCACAUGCCCAAACAGACCCUACUUUUAAACAUGGACUAGACAAUGACAAGAGUGUGACACUUGUUUUAUUAGCUUUCUUUAUGUUUGAUGGUUCAGGGGGAAAACAGCUUUCGGCAAGCUAAAGUCUGCAGGCUCUCCACUGAGCCCCUUUUGGGAUGGCAUGGUAGCCACCGGUCUGUGCGGAAACAGCCAUCUGCUCAACUCUAUUUUCAUCCCCCCUCCGCAUGCCAUUAGGAAAAGCAGCAUGCUGGAGGAACUUAAACCACUYCURAAAAGUCCUAAUUGUUCAACARGUCAAAUUUUGAGCUUUAUAUAACAAGCACCACCAAAUGGCAAGGCCCAGAUGAUUACAAAACCUGCACAGAGURGGCAGGGCUGCUGAUAAAAAAGAAAUUGAAUGUGGCUGAAAAGCCAUUAAGGCUCCAGGAAAAUAAGAGUUUAUUACCGUCAAGGUUAUUAAAUGACCAUAACCCAAAAUGCCCUCAAAUGCACUUUAAGCGUGGAUUUAAAAAAAAAAGGCCGGUUUUUAUGAAUUAAACUUUGCUGAUGUGGUGCGCUUCUUGGGUUGAGAAAAAAGAGAAAUUYGUGCGUUCCAGACUGAGGAUGAAACAGAAGCUGGCGGGAUUCAUUUGAGAUUACUCGGCGCAAACAUAGUGUAAUCCCCUUAUCUGCGUACUUACCUGUCCCUGACAGUGAUCCAAGCCUACCUCUAUGAGCCUCAUUGGCCUGACAUUCUGGCACGGGCAAAUCCCUGUCUAAUGUGUCAGCUCAGGCAGCUUUAACACCUGGCACAGCAACGCUUAUCUGCCAAGCACCCAAAAGCACCUACAUUAUACCACUGGAGCUUCACAACAAGUGAAUAGGUUCCUAAUGUCCACAGAGUGAAAUUACUGCUUGUGUCAAACACGCUGCAUGUAAAAGCUCAGUCCGUUACCAAGGGGCUUAAGACCUGAUUUUCAGUACAUGUACAGAAUGACACCUGCAGCCGCAGUCAGCAUGUGAAUGCUUAGGAUUUGCACGAAUGUCAUAUUGAUUUGGAUCCUUUGGUCGUUUGAACUGUAGGUGUUACGAUGCAUAUACAAUAUGGAGUUGCUGCAGUUUUCUUAGGGUUGAAAGUUGUUGAAUCCUUUUCACAGCAAUUUGUAAAAACUGCUUGGUUUUUAUCUCGCUUCACCAAGAUAAAGCCUCAUUUUUAUUGUGUAUAAUCUUUGGUAUGCAGAAGAUUGUGUGCAAUCUUUGUGUACGAAAGAUUGUUAAUUGUAGCAAAAAAGCUCGUGGUAAAAAUGCAAUUUUACAAGGAACAUUAAUGUAAAUAUUAGACAUAUUUCUUUGAACAUGAGUGUGUAAUUAUUGUCUUUAUGUAAUAAGCACUUUGAAAAUAAAUUGAUAAAAAGACAUGUUUGAAUUAAUAGAAAUGUUAGGAUUGCUUAGUAGGAAAGGGAUUACUAAACAGAAGUGUCGAACAUUGUAACUGGUUACGUAAUACUUUAUCUCUCGUUCGACUAGAGGGAGGUUAGCAGGCCUGCAUCACUGAAGUGAUUCAAAAUCAUAUGAAGACCGUAAAUGGACGUAUCUAUAAUGUUAUUGGAUUUAAAAAAAACAACAUAAUUUGGUUUUCUAUUCAGAAUUCACGUGUUAUAGAUUCAAAGACAGGUAAACAUCUUGAAAAAAGGUGAGAAUAUUUUUCGGAGUCCGACCAGAAGAAGGGCGCUUCUCUGACGCAAGUUUAGAGGAAUGACAUUACGUCAUUUUAAAUUUAUUUAUUUAUAUUUUAAUUUAGAGCUGUUUUAUGAUAUUUUGGUGCUUAUUGAGGAGCCACGCCAGCUUUGUUCUCGUUCAAUUCUGCCAUCUGGUGUCGAUGCACCAAUACUGGAUUUGGGAAGCCGUUUUUUAAGUGAGCCUGAUCAGCUUUGCUCUUGUCUACGCUGCCAUCUGGUGGCCAUGCUCUAACAUUGCAUUUUUAAAAACAUUGAUAUGUAAGAAUAUGUGUGCGGGGACAAUUUCAAACUUUUGAAUUAUAAACACAACGCUUAUCUCUAUUGUCAAGCUAAGUGCGAGUCAAUUGGUGUUUUAAUGGUGAGAUGAAAAAAUAUCGUGUCAGUUAGACACUAUACACGUCAUUUACGUUUGGACCCAGAAUGCACUGCGCCAAAAUCCACAGUCUUAAAAUACGUUUAUUCGUAAAACAAACAAAAAAAUGCGGUUAAUUUUUAUCCACUGGACCUCUAAAAUGGUCAAUGUUGUGGAGUAAGGAGGUAAAAACGCAAGUACUUUAAACUGUUCACGAAACCGUGAGUUAAAAUGGUAUGUAGCAACUUGACUACCCCUCCGCUCAAAGCCGUACGUCAGCUUUGCGCAGUGGCAGUAUCGUAGCCUAUGAGGUUUAUCCGAGGCGCGAUUAUUGCUAGUUGAAAACUUUACCCAAUACCCCGCCUUGACGACUUGAAAUAUAGUCGGCAACGGCAAUUUUUGACGGUCUCUACGGAGACUGAUCACACUGUUAAAAAAAAACUAAGAAAUGCUAACUUUAGAACACUUUAUAAAAUGUAAGCAACGAAAAUCUGUAAUAUGCAUAUAACGUUCUUUGUAUUUCAGAAACUACAGUCUCAUGUGAAUCAGUUAACAUUUAAGUUCUGCUGAUGGUGACCUGUAAAUAACAUACUUUGCUUAAACUAACAUCUUGUUUAAACUAGCCUCUUGUUUAUUAUUUUGGUUUCAUGACGUAAUGGCAUGCGCUAAAGUUGUUUAAGUUUGGCACAAUUUAGCUCUGUAACGUGUAGUAGAAGAUAAAUGGACCAAUAAAUGUCCCUCUUUAUUAUCUUUUCCAUUUGUAUGACUUUGAACAUUUGAUCAUUUUCAACAUUGUCUAUUUUAUACUAAACCAAAUCUCAUUAUUUCUCAAGGUAAUGACUUUGAUGUUUUCAAUUGCAUUUCUCAAUCAUCAAAGUCUUAGUGAAAGAUGAAGCCAUGUUUUCAACCAUGAGUUAAGACGAUAGGGAGUGAAUAUAGUUCCCAUCCGCGGAUGUCAGGCUGCCAUCCAUGCGCAGUGGCAGUAUCGUAGCCAAUGAGGUUUAACCGAGGUGCGAUUAUUGCUAGUUGAAAACUUGACCCAAUACCCCGCCUUGAUGACUUGAAAUAUAGUCAGCAAUGGCAAUUUUUGACGGUCUCUAUUGAGACUAUUUUCGUUGUAACUGGAAAUAUGUAAUUAUCUGAUAAGAAAUGUAUUCAGUGGAAUGUAUUUCUAAAUAGUGAUGGGCCAGCCAGGCGACACAGAAAACUCUGCACAUGCGCAGAGCAAACACGACGAAACCCCGUGUCUGUGCGCAUAUCACUUUAAGGAAAACCACGUGACCUCUACAGUUCCUGUAUGUUUGGUUGCGAACAGUGUCGACACGUUUGUGGGUUUUGUUGAAUGGAGAUACUUUGUGUUCUUUGCUUUGUGUUGGUUUUUGGCUCGUAUUUGAAUAYUGGCAUGAAUCAAGCGAGGAAGAGGAAGUUUUCUCCCGUGUGGGGUAAUUUUUGAUAUGGUCACGGAGAAUAAGGUGAAACGUAAGAUUUACUCCCAGGUGCUGCCUUACUGUAACCGGAGCUCUUCCACAAUGCUGAGGCAUCAUCGUGCCGGGCAUGAGGGGGGAUGAUCCGGUUAAGACUCCCGUGAUAAACCCCGGUGCUUCCAGAAAGCAGGCGAUUGAACUGGACCUUCAACUCAACCAUCUGCUCCCAGCUGAACAUGGAAAUCGAAGAGAGCAAGGCCAGUUCAAACGUCUCCACCGAUGCCGUUAUCGAGGUACAAAGAUGCAUCUCAGAGGCGAACACACCGAGGUCACAGGAUCCACUACAAUGCUGGGAAAUGCAAAGGCUACAAUUACCCUACAUUAUACAAACACUAAUUCCAUUUCUAUGUAUGCCGUUCGUCAUCUGUGCCUUGUGAAAGGGUGUUCUCAAAAGCAGGAGAAAUGGUUUGUGAACCGCGCAAUCGCCCAAAGCUGUUACAGCAGCUGAUGAAGUCUUAUUGUUUCUAUAUAUCUGUAUAAUGCAAUUCAUAAAUGAUGUUUCUCUUCAGUUCCACAUUUGAUGUCCGGUAAACUGUUUUGAGCCAGUUCGUGUCGUCUUGUGAAAGCAAAGAAGACAGAAUAUCUUUUCAUCAACAUAUAAAUAUUUGGAUGACCUAUAAGUGCCGAAAUAUUUCUGUCUAAAGUCUUCAAGGACAAAUAGACUCUUAUUUUUUCAGUGUCUGAGGUUUGGACAUUGCAUAUCAAUUUGCAGCAAUGGACAAUGCAAACUUACCUGCACGACACGUUGAAUGCUGAGUGAUAUUAGUAGCCAUUUCGGAUGCCAUUUUGCCAGAUUUUCACCAACUGAAGAUGAAGUGUGUGGUCAUAUUAGCAUUUUUUUCAGCAAUUGUGAAUAAAAUCGACAGAAUGCAAAUUGUUGAAUUCUUUGGGCUUCGUGCUUCUUCAUGUAAGUUAUCUUAAAAAAAAAAAAAACCCUUGAUGAAUUAUUGUGUUUAAUAAAGUGAAUGUGGAAUUGGAUUAGUUUGGCUGCUGUCCGUUUAAUUUUUUUAAAGUCUAAAUUGCAUUUCCUGAAUUUUAGCAAAGAUUGGUUUUAAUCAGUUGAUACUUAAUAUUGUCAAGUUAUUUUUAAAUGUGAUUAUAAUGUUAUUGCUGUUUACUCUUCAGAGCUGCUGAAUAAAGACGAAGCAAUGUUUUCAACCAUGA